rnacentral:rRNA from 1 species
GAUGAACGCUGGCGGCGUGCCUAAUACAUGCAAGUCGAGCGAACAGACGAGGAGCUUGCUCCUCUGACGUUAGCGGCGGACGGGUGAGUAACACGUGGAUAACCUACCUAUAAGACUGGGAUAACUUCGGGAAACCGGAGCUAAUACCGGAUAAUAUAUUGAACCGCAUGGUUCAAUAGUGAAAGACGGUUUUGCUGUCACUUAUAGAUGGAUCCGCGCCGCAUUAGCUAGUUGGUAAGGUAACGUCUUACCAAGGCAACGAUGCGUAGCCGACAUGAGAGGGUGAUCGGCCACACUGGAACUGAGACACGGUCCAGACUCCUACGGGAGGCAGCAGUAGGGAAUCUUCCGCAAUGGGCGAAAGCCUGACGGAGCAACGCCGCGUGAGUGAUGAAGGUCUUCGGAUCGUAAAACUCUGUUAUUAGGGAAGAACAAAUGUGUAAGUAACUAUGCACGUCUUGACGGUACCUAAUCAGAAAGCCACGGCUAACUACGUG